rnacentral:rRNA from 1 species
AGAGGUGGCAAGCGUUGUUCGGAAUUACUGGGCGUAAAGGGCGAGUAGGCGGCCUUCUAAGUCAGACGUGAAAUCCCCCGGCUUAACCUGGGAACUGCGUCUGAUACUGGGAGGCUAGAGUAUGGGAGAGGGAUGUGGAAUUCCAGGUGUAGCGGUGAAGUGCGUAGAUAUCUGGAGGAACACCGGUGGCGAAGGCGGCAUCCUGGACCAUUACUGACGCUGAUCCGCGAAAGCUAGGGGAGCAAACGGGAUUAGAUACCCCGGUAGUCCUAGCCCUAAACGAUGAAUACUUGGUGUGGCGGGUAUCGAUCCCUGCCGUGCCGAAGCUAACGCAUUAAGUAUUCCGCCUGGGGAGUACGGUCGCAAGGCUG